GAUCAGAGUCCCUGACCACACCGUUACUGGACACCUGUGUGACAUCACUGGACCACUUGCCAUCACCUCAGCCAAUCCUAGCGGAGAACCUGACAGUACACAUCAUGACAUGAUCAUCAGCCGGCUGGGCCAUAAGAUCCAGGGUGUUCUCUGUGACGGGGAGUCCAAUGAACUUGUAGGGUCUACGGUGGUCAACUGCCUCAAGAUAGAUGAAGGGACAAUUGGCAUCGUCAGGGAAGGCUGCGUCCCGGCGCUGAAGGUUCAACAGAUAUUUGAGAGGGUGAAGAGCAAUAUGCUUUGAGGAGCACCAAUUCCUCCAUCCUCCCUAUUUUUUCUUCUCCAUCAGUCCUUUUUCUUUCUUUUUCCACUCACUUUUCCUGCCCUUCCUCAUCCCCUAUUUUCUACUGACCAAUGAGGACACUCAGAUCAACUACUGGCCACCAUCCAAUGAACAGACUUAU